GUAUUAGAGGACUGGGGCGACUCUGCUGAAUGUGAGAAGAAAGCGUUUUGUUCUCAGAAACAGUCUGUUGGCCUGGAUACAAGCUGGCAUCCUGGAAGACCAGGAGAAUGCUAAAUGGCCUGGUGGCCCUACAGAGUCAUGGGAUUUUAAGAACAAUCUAACAAGAUACAUCCAUAUAUCUGAGGGAGGACUUCAUCAUGUGAAUGUGGAUCUCUCCUCUUGUAGAGACAUUACCAGGCAGACAUUACCACUCACCAUUGCAAUGUUCAUCAUUCUGAGAAAAUUAUUUUUUUACAGCUAACUAAAAAAGAAAACUUGUACAGUUAUAGCCCAUAUUUUUAGGCUAUCGUCCAUGGCGAUAGAUAACAUUUGGCCCUCACUAUCUGGAAGAGAUGAAGAAAGGCCCACAAUCUUCUCUAGUCAACAAAGAAAUGCUUGAUAGAAUCAUCAGAGGGCUGACUGGUGUCUGGCAAGUGCAGGGAAGUGGAUUGAAUUAAUAGGGGCUUUUUGUUCUCCAAAAAGUGUGUGGACAAAGGCUGUGCUAAACGGGCAGCAUCUCCAUAACUCUCUUGACAUAUGUUCUGACUCUGCUAUGUAAGCCCACAAAAAGUUAGCAUAUGGCCUUCUUUCUCUUUCCCCAGGGAAAACAACAGGCCGGGACAUGCCUGCUAGCCUGCUGCAGCCCUUGCUGUGGAAAAAGGAGUGUCGGUGGCAUUGCUGCCAAAAAAUAUCCUUCAGAGGGCUCCCAGAAGGUUUGGCCUGGCUUGACCUCACCAUGGAUGAGAGGCAAGGCCAAUUCUGGCUGGUUCCUAGGCCAAGCAGCCCACCCUGACAGCACAGUUGAGGUCUGGGUUUGGAGUUGAGGUUAAAUAUAGCCUCACACACCUUCUGGAGUCACACUCGGGUGCCUCCAAAGGGCAAAUUGGUCUUAAAAUGAUUCACUCACAGGGAAAAAAUCACAUCCAUUUUCUUUCCUUGGGCUGUACAGUUCACAGAGACAUAAAAGGUUUGAAAUGUGUUGGCUUCUCAGAUCUUCUGAUGAGACUGAGCUGCAGAAGUGCAGCAGCUGGUGGCAAAAGCAGCAUCUCAGCACUUUCUAUUCUCCUGUUCUCUCCUCCACUCCGAUUCCCCCACCCACGCUUUGCCUUUUUAUUGCUGACACCCCAGAAGCCUCCAGGAAACAUGGCCCAGAGGCAUAAGAUCCAAGGUUUUCAGGUCAGAGUAGUGCGGGAGCUUCAGCCUUUUCUGAAGCGAAGCUAUGGGGCAGACACACAGCCUUCCAUCUGUUCUGGUGAUAAGCCAGUCUGGUAUUGAUUGUUGGACUUUGACAAAGAACACGUGGAUAUGACAAGGUUGCUUCCCUGCCCCACUCAAUAGCAAGCAAACCGAAAGCACUUUCCAGGCAAAAUUAACCAGUGAAAGAGAAGGUAGGUGUGAUAUUGUGAUUUAUAAUGAAAAUGAUAUAUUUGGUUUCAUCCCCAUAUCUGGCACAGAGCUCCUAAAACCCCUGAAAGUUCCUAAGUGAUGGGAACAAUAAAGGCGUCUCUGAUCUUCUU